GUGAAUCAUCGAAUUUUUGAACGCAAAUUGCACUCUCUUCUGAGAGUAUGCCUGUUCGAGGGUCAGCCUAUAAAAAAUCGACAUCGUUGCUGUUUCGCGGUUGCGUUCGUCGGAAAUUGGGUCAUCUUAAAUCCUUUUGAUUUAAGCGACCUAGCAUUUUCUUUUGGUUCCAUGAUCGUUUCUAUUA
rnacentral:misc_RNA from 1 species